ACAUUAAAGAUGUGAAGGUUCUUCGAG
rnacentral:piRNA from 1 species